rnacentral:rRNA from 1 species
GACGAACGCUGGCGGCGUGCUUAACACAUGCAAGUCGAACGGAAAGGCCCUGCUUUUGUGGGGUGCUCGAGUGGCGAACGGGUGAGUAACACGUGAGUAACCUGCCCUUGACUUUGGGAUAACUUCAGGAAACUGGGGCUAAUACCGGAUAGGAGCUCCUGCUGCAUGGUGGGGGUUGGAAAGUUUCGGCGGUUGGGGAUGGACUCGCGGCUUAUCAGCCUGUUGGUGGGGUAGUGGCUUACCAAGGCUUUGACGGGUAGCCGGCCUGAGAGGGUGACCGGCCACAUUGGGACUGGGAUGCGGCCCAGACUCCUACGGGAGGCAGCAGUGGGGAAUAUUGCACAAUGGGCGGAAGCCUGAUGCAGCAACGCCGCGUGCGGGAUGACGGCCUUCGGGUUGUAAACCGCUUUCGCCUGUGACGAGGCGUGAGUGACGGUAAUGGGUAAAGAAGCACCGGCUAACUACGUG